GACGAACGCUGGCGGCGUGCCUAAUACAUGCAAGUUGAGCGCUGAAGGUUGGUACUUGUACCAACUGGAUGAGCAGCGAACGGGUGAGUAACGCGUGGGGAAUCUGCCUUUGAGCGGGGGACAACAUUUGGAAACGAAUGCUAAUACCGCAUAAAAACUUUAAACACAAGUUUUAAGUUUGAAAGAUGCAAUUGCAUCACUCAAAGAUGAUCCCGCGUUGUAUUAGCUAGUUGGUGAGGUAAAGGCUCACCAAGGCGAUGAUACAUAGCCGACCUGAGAGGGUGAUCGGCCAAAUUGGGACUGAGACACGGCCCAAACUCCUACGGGAGGCAGCAGUAGGGAAUCUUCGGCAAUGGACGAAAGUCUGGCCGAGCAACGCCGCGUGAGUGAAGAAGGUUUUCGGAUCGUAAAACUCUGUUGGUAGAGAAGAACGUUGGUGAGAGUGGAAAGCUCAUCAAGUGACGGUAACUACCCAGAAAGGGACGGCUAACUACGUG
rnacentral:rRNA from 1 species